AACGAACGCUGGCGGCAUGCCUAAUACAUGCAAGUCGAACGAGAUCUUCGGAUCUAGUGGCGCACGGGUGCGUAACGCGUGGGAAUCUGCCCUUGGGUUCGGAAUAACAGCGGGAAACUGCUGCUAAUACCGGAUGAUGACGUAAGUCCAAAGAUUUAUCGCCCAGGGAUGAGCCCGCGUAGGAUUAGGAAGUCGGUGGGGUAAAGGCCUACCAAGCCUACGAUCCUUAGCUGGUCUGAGAGGAUGAUCAGCCACACUGGGACUGAGACACGGCCCAGACUCCUACGGGAGGCAGCAGUAGGGAAUAUUGGACAAUGGGGGCAACCCUGAUCCAGCAAUGCCGCGUGAGUGAUGAAGGCCUUAGGGUUGUAAAGCUCUUUUACCCGGGAUGAUAAUGACAGUACCGGGAGAAUAAGCCCCGGCUAACUCCGUGCCAGCCGCCGCGGUAA
rnacentral:rRNA from 1 species